rnacentral:rRNA from 1 species
AUUGAACGCUGGCGGCAGGCCUAACACAUGCAAGUCGAACGGUAACAGAAAGCAGCUUGCUGCUUUGCUGACGAGUGGCGGACGGGUGAGUAAUGUCUGGGAAACUGCCUGAUGGAGGGGGAUAACUACUGGAAACGGUAGCUAAUACCGCAUAACGUCGCAAGACCAAAGAGGGGGACCUUCGGGCCUCUUGCCAUCGGAUGUGCCCAGAUGGGAUUAGCUAGUAGGUGGGGUAACGGCUCACCUAGGCGACGAUCCCUAGCUGGUCUGAGAGGAUGACCAGCCACACUGGAACUGAGACACGGUCCAGACUCCUACGGGAGGCAGCAGUGGGGAAUAUUGCACAAUGGGCGCAAGCCUGAUGCAGCCAUGCCGCGUGUAUGAAGAAGGCCUUCGGGUUGUAAAGUACUUUCAGCGGGGAGGAAGGGAGUAAAGUUAAUACCUUUGCUCAUUGACGUUACCCGCAGAAGAAGCACCGGCUAACUCCGUGCCAGCAGCCGCGGUAAUACGGAGGGUGCAAGCGUUAAUCGGAAUUACUGGGCGUAAAGCGCACGCAGGCGGUUUGUUAAGUCAGAUGUGAAAUCCCCGGGCUCAACCUGGGAACUGCAUCUGAUACUGGCAAGCUUGAGUCUCGUAGAGGGGGGUAGAAUUCCAGGUGUAGCGGUGAAAUGCGUAGAGAUCUGGAGGAAUACCGGUGGCGAAGGCGGCCCCCUGGACGAAGACUGACGCUCAGGUGCGAAAGCGCGGGGGAGCAAACAGGAUUAGAUACCCUGGUAGUUCACGCCGUAAACGAUGUCGACUUGGAGGUUGUGCCCUUGAGGCGUGGCUUCCGGAGCUAACGCGUUAAGUCGACCGCCUGGGGAGUACGGCCGCAAGGUUAAAACUCAAAUGAAUUGACGGGGGCCCGCACAAGCGGUGGAGCAUGUGGUUUAAUUCGAUGCAACGCGAAGAACCUUACCUGGUCUUGACAUCCACGGAAGUUUUCAGAGAUGAGAAUGUGCCUUCGGGAACCGUGAGACAGGUGCUGCAUGGCUGUCGUCAGCUCGUGUUGUGAAAUGUUGGGUUAAGUCCCGCAACGAGCGCAACCCUUAUCCUUUGUUGCCAGCGGUCCGGCCGGGAACUCAAAGGAGACUGCCAGUGAUAAACUGGAGGAAGGUGGGGAUGACGUCAAGUCAUCAUGGCCCUUACGACCAGGGCUACACACGUGCUACAAUGGCGCAUACAAAGAGAAGCGACCUCGCGAGAGCAAGCGGACCUCAUAAAGUGCGUCGUAGUCCGGAUUGGAGUCUGCAACUCGACUCCAUGAAGUCGGAAUCGCUAGUAAUCGUGGAUCAGAAUGCCACGGUGAAUACGUUCCCGGGCCUUGUACACACCGCCCGUCACACCAUGGGAGUGGGUUGCAAAAGAAGUAGGUAGCUUAACCUUCGGGAGGGCGCUUACCAC